GGAGCAGCUCUGACCUGUAUGUUGAUCAGCACCGGAGAGGAGAGACACCUGGUCCAACAAGGUGACGGACGAGUCGCCGCAGGACGUGAAGCAGGAAAACUGAGGAUCCGUCUCCUGGUGAAACUCCUUCAGGUCCUGCAGUUUGUUGACUCUGGUUUCACCUGUUGACAGUGAGCACUGUUGUCUUUGCUGGAUAUUUACAUAAUAAAACCUUUUUUUUGAAUUACA